rnacentral:rRNA from 1 species
CGCGAAUAGCUCAUUACAACAGCUAUAAUUUACUUGAUCUUGACACAAUCCUACUUGGAUAACUGUGGUAAUUCUAGAGCUAAUACAUGCAUUAAAGCUCUGACCUCACGGGAAGAGUGCAUUUAUUAGAACAAAACCAAGCGGCUUCGGCUGUUUCUGGUUGACUCAUAGUAACUGAGCUGAUCGCAUGGUCUUGCACCGGCGACGUGUCUUUCAAGUAUCUGCCGUAUCAACUUUCGAUGGUAGUGUAUCUGACUACCAUGGUGAUCACGCGUAACGGAGAAUAAGGGUUCGACUCCGGAGAGUUCGCCUGAGAAAUCGCGAACACAUCUAAGGAAGGCAGCAGGCGCGAAAAUUACCCACUCUCAGCACGAGGAGGUAGUGACGAAAAAUAACGAGACCGUUCUCUUUCGAGGCCGGUCAUCGGAAUGGGUACAAUUUAAACCCUUUAACGAGUAUCUAUGAGAGGGCAAGUCUGGUGCCAGCAGCCGCGGUAAUUCCAGCU